rnacentral:lncRNA from 1 species
CCAACUCUGAUGGAAUCAAAGAAGCAGUCAACACAGCUCAACUAGUCACAACAACCGCCAGAUCAAUUAGCGGUUAGCACAGCUCAGCCAGCCACAUCAAUAACCACUCAAGGAAGCUCAACCUCGGGAGUAACUAAUGUAUACAAGCUAAGCAAAGCCGAGCUCAAACGCUACCAAUUGACACGCAUUGAGGAACCAGAAGAACACAUUGAUCCAGACUACUUGCGUUAUUUGAAAGCAAUAGGUGCGUACGACUCAUCUCAACCGCAGUCAGAACGAGGAAAGGAUCAGGGUCGUGAACACAUCGACCCAGACUACUUGCAUUAUUUGAGAGCAAUUGGUGCGUACGACUCAAUUCAGCAACAGCCAAAACGAGGAAAUGGUUGUGGUCGUGAGGGUUGACGCUAACACAUCUACCUAAUAUUCCUAAUGUUGUGAUAUUUGUAUCACCACUGCUUCGUAAUGUUUUAUUUGCUUCAGUAUGCUAUUUUGCUUGGUAUGGAUAAUUUGAUUCUCUAUGUUUGAUUUGCUUCAGCACAACAUUUUUUUUGCUUGGUAUGUUGUAUUUCCUUUGUCUGUUAUAUUUGCUUGGUAUGUUUUGAUUCACUAAUGUUGACGCAGCAAUCCAACCAACAAAUGUUUUAUUAUUAAAUAAGAUACACAUAUAAGAAGCAGGCAAUCACACACCUCACCAGGGGUCAAUGCUCUGGAUGGACAAGAUUCAAUUUAAAUGCUCUGCUCAAUCCCUUCCAAGUUAUGUACCGUGUGUGUGAGCGCAACUGGCUUCCAGGUCCGGAUUCUGAUUUGAUGAUGAAAAAGCGUCUCCGCCUCCUGUAUGCUGUGUCUAAAAGCAAAGAAAUCACAGACACGCGAUGUCCAAAAUCGAGUAUCGGCCCCUUUCUCUUCGUCUUCUCCGUCGUCUUCGUUUCAUGCGUUCACCGUUCUGGCUUACUAGCAAUCAAUCCCGUCCCCAGCAAUCAAUCCCCUCUCCAUUUCUAUACACUAUUUGAUCUCAUUAAUGGAACCUUUUGGCUUUCCCAAUCUGAGGUUCUAUAUAGAUCUCGCACUCCACCUCUUAUCUUCACCAAAUCUUAUUCACUCCUCACGAUUAUAGUAUACCCUCUGCGAUGAUGUUAUCCGAUGUUUCCGAGUUAGUGAAAGCGAGCGGUGAAGCUACGUUUCCCUCCGUUCCGGUCAAACCCGUCAAUCAAACCAGUGUCUCUUCCGGCGAUGAAAAAGUCGGCGAUGUCAGUUCCGUGAAAUCAGAAGUUCUCUCUGCGGCCUCCUCCGGUCCGAGCAAGUCAAUCGGCAAAGCCGGUGUUUCUGCCGGCCUCAACAUCGGCGCUAAGUACAAAGCCUUUGUCUCUUCCCGCGAUAAAGGCAAGGCUAUCGUUGGGAAGGCGAUCACCUUCAGAGACGUGACGUUCGGGCCAUAUGACGGCGAGAUACGGUUUCUUCUGAUCCAUUUGUGGGAGGUUUGGAAUGUUCAGACGAAGGUGCUUAUUGGCCUCGAGAUGAUCCUCAUCGAUGAAGAGGUAGAAACCGAUAUCUUUUUGCAAUUAUAGUUUAUGCAAUUUUUUGUUUAUCAGCGGUUUAAACCAAAUAUUUUCUAUAAAUGUCUUAUUAUAUCUGAACAACAUCCAGCACCCUAAUAACUAAGUUGUUGUUAGCAUCAUCAUGAUUAUAUUUUUGUGGGUUAGAUGUAUAAGUAAAUUUUGUUUCGACUCAAGUUAUCUUGGCUAGCUUCUCUAACUACUUCUCUUUUGUAACAGGAAAAUGUUAUCCAGGGUUUCAUCCCUAAUGGAAGGAUUGAGACUUACUUGCGUCACAUGAAGGCCGUUGGUACUUACCGCCUCAACAAGUUUUUUGGAUCAAAGAGCAAGCCUAUUUAUCGGGUAGCUGAACCAGAUGUCACCAUUAGCUUCUCAUGGAACUCUGUCCUCUAUAAUCUCGAGGACAGUUCCAUUAACUUCCCUGAGGAUCGGUUCCGGAUCCAUGGUUACAGAGAAUUCGAGGCUGCCUCUGAUCAAAGAGGUGAUCUUUAUGGUAAGUUCUCACCAGCUUUAAUCCACAUAGAUGUUUUAAUUGAUUCUAGAGUGUUGCCUAGGAUAGUGUUUUCAUACAGACUCAGAAAUUUAGGUUUUAUUGCUUGGGUUUAUAAGAUAUAAAACAUUGAUUUUUAUUGUCUUCUUUGCAGAUUAUAUAGGUCAUAUCAAACUUGUGAAUGGGCAGGUUCUCAGUGACGGUCCUCUUCUUGAUGAAACAGAGAUAGUUGCAUCCCGCCGAGUUGAACUUCAUGUUCAAACACAUGAGUGAGUUGUUAUCUAGCUUCUUCAGCAUACACAUAUGGUUUAUCUUACCGAAUGGUUUGUGUUGUUACAGCGACCCCGUUCUGAAGUUGUACCUCUGGGACAAGGCUGCCNNNNNNNNNNNNNNNNNNNNNNNNNNNNNNNNNNNNNNNNNNNNNNNNNNNNNNNNNNNNNNNNNNNNNNNNNNNNNNNNNNNNNNNNNNNNNNNNNNNNNNNNNNNNNNNNNNNNNNNNNNNNNNNNNNNNNNNNNNNNNNNNNNNNNNNNNNNNNNNAGAGGAGGAAUCAAGGCAAAAGUUGAAGGUUUGUCUGUUAGCUUGUGUGACAAGUAAUUCGAGUCCUUUCGUAAUCUCAUUUUACUGUUUGGACAAUCUUGACUUGAUUAUCUAAUAUCUGGUUCUCAUUCACUACAGCGAGAUGAACUGACGCAAGUGCAUGAAACCGAACUGUUCGAGCACGUGAGCAAGUUCUUAACCUCAGUGGGCUACGAAGAAAAUCUAUCAUUCGCAGCUGCUACGGCUUGUUGCCAAGGAGCCAAAGUCUUAUCCGGAUGCUCAUCAAACGAGUACUAUUGUCGCGAAACUUCUGUGAAAUGCAUCAAAGGUCAUGGGCCUUCUGGAGUGGAGGAAGCCACAGUUAUAGCCGGAGUUGUGGUUCGUGACGGUAGUGAACAAGAGGUUGACCUAUUGGUGCCGUCGACUCAACCUGUCUCGAAAGGAAGUGAAUAUUAUAGUCCGGAGUCAAAGUAUCCAUCAGGCAGCGAUGCAUUCACCGCGCUUCUGAUGGCUUUACCUCCACAGACAUGGUUUGGAAUCAAAGACCAAGCUCUUCAAACCAAAAUGAAGAAGCUGGUCUCCGUUGGCACCUUCUCGACUAUGCAUCACGAAGAGGUGAGUACCAAAUUUCCACUCUCUAUUACUAGGGCUGUCAAAUAUUCAACUAUCUAUUACUAGGGCUGUCAAAAUGAGUGAUAACUCGUGAACUGGUUCGGCUAUCAAGAAUUAUACGAACAUAUCUUUCAAAGGGAAAUUAAUAUGAGAUUUGCGAAUUCGGGUUACAGGUAUCUCAUCUUAGGAGACAACUUAUAAUGCUAAAGCGAUGCCAAGAGAAGAAGGAAGAGGAAGACCUCACCGCUCCUCUCUCUUAAUUCAAUCUAGUUCCAAUUUCUCAGAACUCUAUAUUUGCAAAGAACAAUGUGGAAUUGUGUGAUAUAUGCAAACCAGGUGUUUAUUAGUUUUUUGUGAACAUUUGUUAGUUUAUGUUUUACUAAUUCAAAAAAUCAGUAUGAUAAAUUUUUAUUUAUACAAAUUCUUUUUGAUUAACAUUUAAUUAUAAAUAAUUUAUUAUCUUAAUUUUCAAUUUUUAUAAUAGAAAAAUAUUAUUUCAAGAUAACAAUACAAUAUAUAAGAUAACAACACAAUAUAAUAAGAAUUAUCUUGUUAUAAUAUAUAUAAGAAUUAUCUUUUUAUAAUAAAAUAUAUUUUUAGAUUUUGGAUAAUUCUUAUUAUUAUUAGUUUUAAUCACUUAUAUUAUUAAAAAAGCAAAUUCGUUUUUAUUUUUUGUUAAUUUAUAUAUUUAAUUUAUUAAGGGUAUAGUCGAUAUUAAUCACUCUAACUUUUAACGUGGAAGCUCUGUUGCUAAAAUUUACUUCGCAAAUAAUAGUAUAGAUUAGUUUAGAAUUUCUCAAGUUUGCCGUGUGAUUUUAGAAUAUGUAUUAGAUGAUUAGUUAGCAUUGCUUAGGACUAAGUUCUUUAACUCAUUCGAUCAAAAACAUAAUAAUUAUAAUUAUAGGUAGACACCCAUGAAUGAUUAAAUACAUUAACUCUUUAUAUAAGCCAAAAAUAGAAAUUUUGCCGAAAAUAAGAACACAUGUUGAUAUCAGGAUUCGAACCCUGGCCAAGAGCUUAUGCAAAGGCUACUCUACCGAUAGACUAAAGACACACAUUGCUAAUAUAUGACAAACGUUAAACAUAUAUAUGACCCGCUCGGGAAGAUUUAAUUGCUUCUUCUUCCUUUUUAAAAAGGGAAAACUCGACCCUUCCUCUUCUAUAUUUCAACUGCCUUUCAAUCCAAUCUCCUCGCCAUGGCUGAUCAAAAUCCUUCUUCCUCUGUUCGAACUAGGAUUCAGAGGUUUAUCGAGAUUGAUCACGCAUAUGGAGAACACUUCCAAUUCCGAUCGCGAGCCCCGUUCAAGUCGUUUGAUGAACGUCUACAAGAAAGUCGAUUCAUAUUCUCCGGGACCGUCCCACCAAUCGGGGGUUACUCUAGGCGUCAUCACAGCCACGAAGCCACCAUCGGGUAUCGCUCUCUUUGUCUCCGUGGUUUUGUGGUUCAAGGUUCUCUAGAUCCUAGGAAUCGUCUUUUAGAGGAUGUCUUUAGGGUUAUUGAUAACAUAGGGUGGUGUUACACGGUGUUGCAUGUGAACCCGUUCUGUCCUAGAGUUGUGAGAGAUUUCAUCUCUAACAAACCAUUCAACAAGGAUGGAGCUCUUAUUCGGGGAUUUGUGUACCGUUUCUCCCCGACGGUGAUCAACCAAUUGAUGAUGACACCGUCUGUUGAACACUCCUUUCAGUGGAAAGAUGUUGUGCUGAAGCAGGCAAUCACACACCUCACCGGGGGUCAAUGCUUUGGAUGGACGGGAUUCAAUCUAAAUGCUCUGCUCAAUCCCUUCCAACUUCUGUACCGUGUGUGUGAGCGUAACUGGCUUCCAGGUCCGGAUUCUGAUUUGAUGAUGAAAAAGCGUCUCCGCCUCCUGUAUGCUGUGUCCAAAUGCAAAGAAAUCGACUUUGGCCAGCUUGUGUACGAACAAGUUAUCGACAUGGCCCGUGUAACAGAUUUGGAGACAGGCUUGAUAUUUCCAAAUCUGAUUUAUCAGCUCUUGGUGCUUCAAAAAGAAGUCCCUCUUUUACCGGGAUAUGAAGAACCUAUUGGAAGAGGUGUCCCCAUCUAUGGCUCAGAAAGUGGAAGGAGUGAAGGAAGUGGUCCGAGGGGACGUAGAAGACUAUGUUAGUGUAAUAGCCAAGUGUUUUUUUUUGUGCAAAGUCCAUCGUUCUCUCAUGAAUGUAGCUAACGUAUGAUCUUUUUGGUAAGUAACAUGUGUCUGGAUCCUCUUCCGAAGGUUGUAAUCACAGUGACAGUUACGUUUUUUUUAUGAUGUCAUUGUAUAAAUGAAAAUGUUGUUUGGUAUGAGAUUAUCUUUUCAGUUGUUUCUAUUACUACUCUUUUUGUUCCACCAUUGUUGAGAUGAAUUUAUUGUUGUUAGAAAGAGAACAUAUUGUUGCUAGAUUCCUGGCUUUGUUAUAAAGAAGCAGUAUGAAGAGGUGCAGAAUCUUGGCUUUGGUCGAUUCUAUACAGUAUGUGUUUGCUGCCAAAUCCCGAGUCAAAACUCUACACAGUCAAAGCAGUUGUACUUGGAGCAACAUAUAAACCCUCGAUGCGAGGAAUAAGAAGAAGUCAUGGCUGAGACUUGAUAUAUUCCUAAAUUAUUUAUGAUUACUUAAGCUAUUCUUUUUGUUUUUAAACAACCCAAUAUACUUGAUUUUUUAGAGUUUUGAAAAAUACGACUCUUUCAUUCCAAACAAUAGGAUUCUUAAUUAUCUGCACUUUUCAUUUUUGGAUAGUUAAAACUACAUCAAGUAUAGCUAUUUUUUUAUAAUGCUAUGAAGACUUUGUUUUUGCUUUAUUUAAAAAUUUGGUUUUAGAUUUUUAUAAUUUAUAUCAUCUAAACAAAAUUAGUAUUUCUAUGGUAUCAAUUUAUUUUAAUAUGUGAUUCCAUAUAUUGCAAUUUUGGAUCCUUCAUGUACGGUCCCUAUAAUUAUUUUUGAAUAACAUAAUUAGAACCAUAUUUCAUAUUUGAUUGAAGGAAACUUCAAAAAAAAAAAAAAAAUUAUACCAUUGGAUUGGAAUGAUUCAACGGUUUAGAUUAGUAGUCUAGGUUAUCCUCACCAUUGGCUCCCAUUGGUCGAACCCAUUGGAAGUAACACCACAUCUUCUUGAUAUAUGGAGUCAUCCUAUAGAUUCCACUAUGCUAAUCCAUUCAUCUCUUACCUCAACCCACCACAAGUCUCUCUCAUAUGUCGUAAUCCAUAUCAAGCCACCACAAUCCUAUCCUAAUUCUGUUCCAAUCAACACGAGUUAGAUUAGAGCAUUAUCUUAAGCAGGUAAUCGACAUCUAGACAAUUGAUCUUUUUCUUCCAUCUCUCUGAUCUUUCUAAUACACCUCAAGACUCAUAUAUCCACUAAGAUUUGAAGCAUUACCUUUUUCAAAGAUAACCAAUAGUUUCAAUUUGUAGAUAUAAACAAAGAUCUAGCUCUCGUAGAUUUAUCAGUUUAGUCUUCCCUAAUUACCUCAUCAGAUAGGUUUGUCAAUUAGCUAGGAUUGCAUGUUCUUAAUACGUUUUUAUCUUUAUUCUAAAGAUAUAUAUUUGGUUAACUUUCACAGCUACCAACUCUGAUGGAAUCAAAGAAGCAGUCAACACAGCUCAACCAGCCACAACAACCGCCAGAUCAAUUAGCGGUUAGCACAGCUCAGCCAGCUACAUCAAUAAGCACUCAAGGAAGCUCAACCUCGGGAGUAACUAAUGUAUACAAGCUAAGCAAAGCCGAGCUCAAACGCUACCAAUUGACACGCAUUGAGGAACCAGAAGAACACAUCGACCCAGACUACUUGCGUUAAUUGAAAGCAAUAGGUGCGUACGACUCAUCUCAACCGCAGUCAGAACGAGGAAAGGAUCAGGGUCGUGAACACAUCGACCCAGACUACUUGCAUUAUUUGAGAGCAAUUGGUGCGUACGACUCAAUUCAGCAACAGCCAAAACGAGGAAAUGGUUGUGGUCGUGAGGGUUGACGCUAACACAUCUACCUAAUAUUCCUAAUGUUGUGAUAUUUGUAUCACCACUGCUUCGUAAUGUUUUAUUUGCUUCAGUAUGCUAUUUUGCUUGGUAUGGAUAAUUUGAUUCUCUAUGUUUGAUUUGCUUCAGCACAACAUUUUUUUUGCUUGGUAUGUUGUAUUUCCUUUGUCUGUUAUAUUUGCUUGGUAUGUUUUGAUUCACUAAUGUUGACGCAGCAAUCCAACCAACAAAUGUUUUAUUAUUCAAUAAGAUACACAUAUAAAAAAAUUUUUUUUUUGUGCAAAGUCCAUCGUUCUCUCAUGAAUGUAGCUAACGUAUGAUCUUUUUGGUAAGUAACAUGUGUCUGGAUCCUCUUCCGAAGGUUGUAAUCACAGUGACAGUUACGUUUUUUUUAUGAUGUCAUUGUAUAAAUGAAAAUGUUGUUUGGUAUGAGAUUAUCUUUUCAGUUGUUUCUAUUACUACUCUUUUUGUUCCACCAUUGUUGAGAUGAAUUUAUUGUUGUUAGAAAGAGAACAUAUUGUUGCUAGAUUCCUGGCUUUGUUAUAAAGAAGCAGUAUGAAGAGGUGCAGAAUCUUGGCUUUGGUCGAUUCUAUACAGUAUGUGUUUGCUGCCAAAUCCCGAGUCAAAACUCUACACAGUCAAAGCAGUUGUACUUGGAGCAACAUAUAAACCCUCGAUGCGAGGAAUAAGAAGAAGUCAUGGCUGAGACUUGAUAUAUUCCUAAAUUAUUUAUGAUUACUUAAGCUAUUCUUUUUGUUUUUAAACAACCCAAUAUACUUGAUUUUUUAGAGUUUUGAAAAAUACGACUCUUUCAUUCCAAACAAUAGGAUUCUUAAUUAUCUGCACUUUUCAUUUUUGGAUAGUUAAAACUACAUCAAGUAUAGCUAUUUUUUUAUAAUGCUAUGAAGACUUUGUUUUUGCUUUAUUUAAAAAUUUGGUUUUAGAUUUUUAUAAUUUAUAUCAUCUAAACAAAAUUAGUAUUUCUAUGGUAUCAAUUUAUUUUAAUAUGUGAUUCCAUAUAUUGCAAUUUUGGAUCCUUCAUGUACGGUCCCUACAAUUAUUUUUGAAUAACAUAAUUAGAACCAUAUUUCAUAUUUGAUUGAAGGAAACUUCAAAAAAAAAAAAAAAAUUAUACCAUUGGAUUGGAAUGAUUCAACGGUUUAGAUUAGUAGUCUAGGUUAUCCUCACCAUUGGCUCCCAUUGGUCGAACCCAUUGGAAGUAACACCACAUCUUCUUGAUAUAUGGAGUCAUCCUAUAGAUUCCACUAUGCUAAUCCAUUCAUCUCUUACCUCAACCCACCACAAGUCUCUCUCAUAUGUCGUAAUCCAUAUCAAGCCACCACAAUCCUAUCCUAAUUCUGUUCCAAUCAACACGAGUUAGAUUAGAGCAUUAUCUUAAGCAGGUAAUCGACAUCUAGACAAUUGAUCUUUUUCUUCCAUCUCUCUGAUCUUUCUAAUACACCUCAAGACUCAUAUAUCCACUAAGAUUUGAAGCAUUACCUUUUUCAAAGAUAACCAAUAGUUUCAAUUUGUAGAUAUAAACAAAGAUCUAGCUCUCGUAGAUUUAUCAGUUUAGUCUUCCCUAAUUACCUCAUCAGAUAGGUUUGUCAAUUAGCUAGGAUUGCAUGUUCUUAAUACGUUUUUAUCUUUAUUCUAAAGAUCUAUAUUUGGUUAACUUUCACAGCUACCAACUCUGAUGGAAUCAAAGAAGCAGUCAACACAGCUCAACCAGCCACAACAACCGCCAGAUCAAUUAGCGGUUAGCACAGCUCAGCCAGCUACAUCAAUAAGCACUCAAGGAAGCUCAACCUCGGGAGUAACUAAUGUAUACAAGCUAAGCAAAGCCGAGCUCAGACGCUACCAAUUGACACGCAUUGAGGAACCAGAAGAACACAUCGACCCAGACUACUUGCGUUAUUUGAAAGCAAUAGGUGCGUACGACUCAUCUCAACCGCAGUCAGAACGAGGAAAGGAUCAGGGUCGUGAACACAUCGACCCAGACUACUUGCAUUAUUUGAGAGCAAUUGGUGCGUACGACUCAAUUCAGCAACAGCCAAAACGAGGAAAUGGUUGUGGUCGUGAGGGUUGACGCUAACACAUCUACCUAAUAUUCCUAAUGUUGUGAUAUUUGUAUCACCACUGCUUCGUAAUGUUUUAUUUGCUUCAGUAUGCUAUUUUGCUUGGUAUGGAUAAUUUGAUUCUCUAUGUUUGAUUUGCUUCAGCACAACAUUUUUUUUGCUUGGUAUGUUGUAUUUCCUUUGUCUGUUAUAUUUGCUUGGUAUGUUUUGA